rnacentral:rRNA from 1 species
UACGUAGGGGGCAAGCGUUGUCCGGAAUCAUUGGGCGUAAAGAGCGUGUAGGCGGCCCGGUAAGUCCGCUGUGAAAGUCCAGGGCUCAACCCUGGGAUGCCGGUGGAUACUGUCGGGCUCGAGUCCGGAAGAGGAGUGUGGAAUUCCUGGUGUAGCGGUGAAAUGCGCAGAUAUCAGGAGGAACACCAAUGGCGAAGGCAGCACUCUGGGCUGUAACUGACGCUGAGGAGCGAAAGCGUGGGGAGCAAACAGG